UGUACAAAGUCAAUGUUGUUGCAGCAGCUGCUCUGGGGGAACGGCCCAUCACAGAUCAGAGCCGAGGGGUGAACGGGCUCCUCCCUGGAUGCGGCCAUGACCUCAGUGCCACAGAGGCACCGGAACUGGGGACAGCAGCAGGGUAGUAGCAUUAGGGCACACCCUGCCUUUGCAUGGAAAGGACAGAGAGCCCAACACGGCGCCUGGAACACACGAGUCCUGCAUGCAAAACAGAAGAAAGAACAAGACCCCUAAAGGCCCAAAGCCACCUGGGCUUCAGCAGCCCAGAGGUCAUGUUCAAGGUGGUUCUGGAUUCUGAGGACCUUCCAUCUGUUGCGUUGGUGUUUGCAGCCCUUGGCCUACAAUCUUCCCACGUGUGUCUGCAGCCUCUCUCCUAUCAGAGUGGAUCUCCAGGUUCUUUGAGGAUCAUCCCUGUAACUUCUAUAGUAGCCACCGCCCCCAGUUCCCUACAACACCUGCUAUGGGACUGUUGACUAAAGACGCCUUGGUAUGUGACCGGCUGUCACUUCCAACAAAAUCUUUGAAGAUGAUAACAGAGAUGUUUGCUCAAGCACUCUACAACUUACAUACAAGGAUGCUUCAGCUACAGUCUCAUCGGUAGGAGAUAAGGCGCCACCAAAUAGCCACCUGUAGGCAAAUGAUGAAGUCACGAAGUAUUCUCCAGCUACA